ensembl:lncRNA
AGGGCAACAAAGCUGGUGAGGGGUCUGGAGCACAGAUUUUAUGAGGAGUAGCUGAGGGAGCUGGGAUUGUUCAGUCUGGAGAAGAGGAGGCUCAGGGGAGACCUUACCGCAGUCUCCAUUUUCCUGAACGAAGGCUGUGAUGAGGAGGGGUUUGGCCUCUUCUCCCAGGCAACAAACAGGACCUGAGGAAAUGGCCACAAGUUAUACCAGAAGAGGUUUAGGUUAGACAUAAAGAAAAACUUUUUUUCUCAGAGAGUGGUCAGGUCUGGAAUGGGCUGCCCAGGGAAGUGGUGGAGUCUGUCCCUGCCAGUGUUCAAGAGGCACCUGGAUGAGGAGCUAUGAGAUAUGGUUUAGUGGCUUGUGGUAGCAAUGUUAAUGGGAGGACGGUUGGACUAGAUGAUCUUGUAGGUUGUUUCCAACCUUGUGAUUCUAUGAUUCUAUGAAAAGCAAAAUAUACAAAUUAGGCAUAGCCAACUCAUUGUUAGAGAAACCUGCUGUUACAGCUAAGUGAAGUUCAAACAGAGUUUCAGUCAGGACAGAAAAUUUUGGAUAAAGCAAGCCUGACAAGUUGCAGUCCUGAGGCAUGGCAAUGUACUUGCAUAUCUACAGUGACAGAGCUGAGUUCAAGCUUUUUAACAAAGUCAAGACUGCCACCUCCAGCAGGCGGUUUAUUUCUUAAGUGCAGAAGCCUGGGUUGAUUUUGGUAUGGUAAUUAAAUUUUUAAAUUUAAUUUAAAUCUAAUUUUUUUUGCUAAAGCUGAGCUGCAAACCCUCAAACAAAAAUGACAAGUUUAACAACUAGAACUGCUUGUCCUCAUUUUUGUACUUAAACCAAUUUUAAGGAUUGAAAUAGAGAAAUGUAAGAAAAAUAAUACAGGCACCAAUCUUAUUAAAGGAUAGGUUCAUAAUUGGUGAACAUUUAUAGACUGUUCUUCAAAUUAUUACUCAUUCAUAAUUUCAGCUUUUAUUCAGAAAAGUAUUACUUGCCUUGCUCCUUUCAGACGUGCUAUUGAGCAUGUAAUAUUAAAGUAUUUGGAACAAUAUUUGGAACUCGUUUACGAAAAAGUCCGUGGAAAAAAACUUUUUGUCUGACUUUUGCAUGUUUGAAAUAAUACCUUUGCCUUCUUGUCUCCUCCCCCAUCAACUUGAUGAGACUCUUAAAAACUGAAGCCAAAAAAAGAUACUAAUUUGCUCAGACAAAACUGUUAUGAGUUUCAAACAUACUUUAUAAAUUGCACAUAAUUUGAAAGCUUUACUAGGAUGAUAUACACCUGCAAAUUGUUAGCUAACACCCACAACACAUUUUAUGGCUCAUGCUCUGGUCUUUUAGCAACUUGCAGUUCACGCAGCUGGAAAAGUCUCAGAAUGGUGAAUGCCUGAAAUUUGUCCUAAGUGGUGUUGACAUUGUAGUGACUGAAAGAUGCAACCCUCUCCCUCACUCCCCUGACAGGUUUUUUUUUUUUUUUUUUUUUUUUUUUUUUUUUUUUUGUGAAACAUCCAUCCUAUCUCAUCCAUCAGAAAAACAAAAACAGACUAAGCAGUAUCUCUGGGACUGCAAAUCAUAGCCAACAAUACAGCUGCAAAGUUAUGAAACAGCCCCAGAAGUACUGAUGAUUAUCAGUGUCUGGAAUUCUUCCAGGCUUAAUGGCCUCCUUAUUGGUAAAAAAGCUAAAACGUUCCGCAAGUCAUUCUUUUAGUAUAUCUCUAAUGCAUUUGUAUGAAUGAGAAUACUGAAGCUGUGGAGUUGUUCAGUAAGGAACCAUGAACUUUUACUCCAAUAUGAAAAAGGACUACAUAUUAGUUCUUAUUUGUUGUUAAAUGAGAGGAUGGAAAAAAAUAAUUCUGCUG